rnacentral:rRNA from 1 species
AACGAACGCUGGCGGCAUGCCUAACACAUGCAAGUCGAACGAACCCUUCGGGUUAGUGGCGCACGGGUGCGUAACGCGUGGGAAUCUACCCUUGGGUUCGGAAUAACUCGGAGAAAUCCGUGCUAAUACCGGAUGAUGUCGCAAGACCAAAGAUUUAUCGCCCAGGGAUGAGCCCGCGUAGGAUUAGCUUGUUGGUGAGGUAAAAGCUCACCAAGGCGACGAUCCUUAGCUGGUCGAGAGGAUGAUCAGCCACACUGGGACUGAGACACGGCCCAGACUCCUACGGGAGGCAGCAGUGGGGAAUAUUGGACAAUGGGCGAAAGCCUGAUCCAGCAAUGCCGCGUGAGUGAUGAAGGCCUUAGGGUUGUAAAGCUCUUUUACCCGGGAUGAUAAUGACAGUACCGGGAGAAUAAGCCCCGGCUAACUCCGUGCCAGCAGCCGCCGCGGUAAU